rnacentral:rRNA from 1 species
UGAUGGGGAGUAACAAGUUGGAAACGACUGCUAAUACCGAAUACGCUCAUGAUGAACUUUAUGAGGAAAGGUGGCCUCUGCUUGCAAGCUAUCGCAUAGAGAUGAGUCCGCGUCCCAUUAGCUAGUUGGUGGGGUAACGGCCUACCAAGGCAACGAUGGGUAGCCGAUCUGAGAGGAUGAUCGGCCACACUGGAACUGAAACACGGUCCAG